GGUCUUCUGCUCUACCGGUGGGUAUGGGCGAAGGAGAGGAUUCCCGGCGGACAUUGAUCCAAAAUUAUUUUGCAGUUGCCUGUGAGUAUACUGACAACAUUUGUAUUAUCGUGUAAACUGACAUUGGAAUAUUUUUUAAAAAACCUCUUCAUUUAUCUAUUUCAGAGUUUUACAUCCUGUUGAUGUAUAUCCCCAGGCCCGUUUGUACAGUUCGUUCCCCCCUGUUUUAUCCUGUUGGGUUACCGCAAAUAUUUGACCCUUUUAUCCAACUCUACCAUGGGCGACCUACUGGAGAUGUGGACCUGACCCUCCGCCAUGUAGCAGACAACCCCCUCAGGUCCUGCGGUGUAUCUUCCCAAGUGGCGUGGAUGUGAGGAGACACGACAUUUCACCUGAUGUUCCAUGGGCGACCUACUGGUGAUGUGGACCUGACCCUCCGCCAUGUAGCAGACAACCCCCCUCAGGUCCUGCGAUGUAUCUUCCCAAGUGGCGUGGAUGUGAAGAGACACGACAUUUCAACUGAUGUUCCAUGGCCGACCUACUGGUGAUGUGGACCUGACCCUCCGCCAUGUAGCAGACAACCCCCCCUCAGGUGAGAUGUAUUGCCCAAAACUCCCAUGUCCAAAAUCACCCCGACAUGUCCAAAGUGCAGCCCUCCGGCAUUUGCAAGACUGCACAUCCAAACAUUCCCUGAAACAGCAAUGCUAGUCAGGGAAUGUUUGGAUGUGUAGUGAUGCAAGUGCAGGAGGGUUGCAUUUGGGCCGCUGUAACCCGCUUGUGUUGUGUGGACUGUUG